UCGCCAUGUCACCCAGGCUGGAGGGCUGUGGCACAAUCUCAGCUUAUUGCAACCUCUGCCUCCGGAGUAGCUGGGAUUACCAGGCAUGUGCCACCACACCCAGCUAAUUUUUAUAUUUUUAGUGGAGACAUGUUUUCUCCAUGUUGGUCAGGCUGAUGUUGAAUUCCUGACUUCAGGUGAUCCACCUGCUUCGGCCUCCCAAGGUGCUGGGAUUACAGAAGUGAGCCACUGUGCCUGGCCUACGAUGUGUCUUCUCUUUCUAAUACAAUUCUCUAGAAUACCCUCCAUCUUUCAGUGAAAUGCAAUGUGAUGUGGUAUGUAAAAGGGCUUUGUAUGAAUUCUCCAGAAAGUCAACAAUUUUGACCUUGAUCAUAUCUUGAUCAUCUUUAUAGAUGCCUACAUUUCACUCUUAUAAACACACACACACACACACACACACACACACACAUAUAUGUAUAUAUAUAUUUUUUAAAUGAUCAGCAAUUUCAUUCUGGAAAUCAAAAAUUUCCAAAGAAUAAAAAAAUCUAACACAAGCUGGGCAUGGUGGCUCACACCUGUAAUCCCAGCACUUUGAAAGGCCAAUGCGGGAGGAUUGUUUGAGCCCCAGAGUUAUGAGCUAUGAUCAUGCCAUUGCACUACUCCAGCCUGAACCCUGUCUCUUUU
rnacentral:lncRNA from 10 species